UGGGAUUAUAGGCAUGAGCCACCAUACCUGGCAGAAAUACGGUUUUUAAAUGAAAUCUUUUAUACAACCCCUACAUAUCAAACAAAAUUAAAGCUGCUUUAGUAGUAGCAUUAUUACCUCUUUUCUAACAGUCUGAGAGAAAAUUAGAAAAUGGAAUCAAAUUUGAAAAUUAAUGGUAGAGGUGCUACUAAAACAAUGAAAAUUGUUGACACUACCUUCACUGUUGAGAGUUCAAAGAGGUAUAAGGAUUUUAAAAUAUAGAUGUCAUUAUUUUUUUGUUUGUUUUAAGAGACAGGAUCUUACUCAGUUGCCUAGGCUGAAGUGCAGUGGUGUGAUCAUAGCUUACUGUAGCUUCGAACUUCUGGACUUAAGGAAUCCUCCUGCCUCAGCCUAUCCAGUAGUUGGGACUAGAGGCCCAUGUCAUCAUGGUGGCCAGCUAAUUGUUUACAAUUUUUUUUUAGAGACAGGGUUUCUCUGUGUUGCCCAGGCCGGUCUUGAAUUCUUGGCCUGGAGAUCCUCCCACCUCAGCAUCCAGAUUAGCUAAGAUUACAGUUGCAAGCCACUGCACCUGGCUUGAGGUCAUUGUUGACCCUGAGAACAGUUUCAAUAAAAUUGGGAAAGACUGAGAAGUUCAUAGUGUUCCUGGACCAAACUGAGGGUCGGGCUGCUAUUUCUCAUGGCCCAAUAACGAGAUGCAAUAUGAACUGGGAAGGAAAAGAGUUGAGGCCUGUGGCAUUUCUUCACACCCCCAAUAAAACUUGUUUAAUCCUAAAUGAGUCCUGUUAAGAAUUCCGUUAUUUUGUCAUGCCUUAAGGCCCAGGAAAGGCCUAGGCAAAACUAUCCAUGGGCUUUUGUUAUAUUCCAGCCUUUGUAGAAGGGCACUGGCUUUUUUAGCUUUUAAUAUUUAACUUAACCACUCAGUCAGUGCUGAAAAUGUUGUAAUGGAGGCCUGCGUUAGUGCAACCUGGCCUGCCACAACAGGGUGAGCUGCUUAAAUGACAGAGGAAGAUAUAGGUAAGAAAGGGUAUUAUUAGCACAGCUUUGUCCCUGAGGAUGCAAGAUGGGUGGGAUCCAGAAAACCAAGAGAGAACUUGAAUGGGAAGAAAGACAGAACCCUGUCCGUUAAUUCAUGAAGAAAGAAUGGGAAUGAGAAUACAAGCCAUUUUGUAAGUGGAAGCAGAAAGUUGAAGAAGUUCAGAGUUUUUGGUUACCAUAUCUCUGUCGUUUAGGAGGCAGAGCCAUCCCUGAGGGAGAGAGGAAGGCAGAAGUUAGAUGUAAGUGCAUACCUCAUGGGCACUGUUUUCAGACAAAGCAUCUACAGGAGUCAUAUACUUUCUUAAUUUUUCCUUAGCCCAAAGGAAGAAAGAUAAGGAAAAAAUGUAGCAUUCUGCCUAACAAAGAAAUUGGAGGCACUUUUCUACCUUUAGGAGGUAGAAAAUAGUACCCUGAAAAGUCAUUAGUAUGCACUGCAUAAGACUUAAGUGUAGCUUAACUAAGUUGCUUCUCCCAGUAAAUAAUAUCAUCCAUCUAUUCAGAAAGCUGACAGUCAUCCUUGAUAACACUCUCUCCAUUUCUCACAUCCAAUCAAUCACAAAUCUUGCUGAUUUUUAGCUCUUCAGUAUUGCUAAAGUCUGUGUAUUUUUUGGUGACUACUGCCUUUAUCUAGGCCACAAUUAUCUUUUGACUAGAUUACUAUAGUAGCUUUAGUAAGUCUAUCUCUCUGCAUCUGAAGUGGUCCUUUCUAUUGCCUGAAGGUCUUCACACAUUUUAUACAGGAUCCUUUACAAGAUUUUUUUUGGCACAGUGUCUUAAACAGUAAGAAAUAUAUCAUGACCAAAGUACACACAUAUAUUUAUAUAAUUAAUAGUUUAGAUAUUGACAAAGAUGCCAAGACCAUUCAACGGGAAAAUAAUAGUUUUUUCAACAAAUACUGCUGGGACAACUGGAUAUCCUCAUGCAUAAGAAUGAACCCCUAUGGUACACAGUGUACAAAAUUAACUAAAAAUGGAUCAAAAGAAAGUACCUGUUUCUGCCUUCUAGAGAGAGGCUUCACUUCCCAGCAAUAUAUAUAUAUAUAUUUAAAAGGAUUGAAAACCUAAAUUAAAGAGCUGAAACUAUGAAAUGCUUAGAAGGAAACACAGGUGUAAAUUUUCAUGACAUUGAAUUAGGCAGUGAUUUCUUCAACAUUGUCCCAGAAGCCCAAGCAACCAAAAAAAAAAAAAAAAAACACUUGAACUUUACUGAAUUAAAAGCAUUUGUGCUUUAAAGAACACUCAAGACAGUGAAAAAAGCUGCUGAGGUGCAGUGGCAUGAAAAUUAAAGAACAGACAGCUGGAGUAAUCAUUCCUGCAAUCCCAGCUACUUGGUAGGCUAAAGUGGGAAGACUACUUGAGCCCAGGAGUUUGGGUCCAGCCUGGGCAACAUAGCAAGACCCUGUCUCUUUAAAAAAAUAAAAGAAAGAAAGUGAAGGCAGCUCUCAGAAUGGGAAAAAAUACUUGCAAGUCAUUUAUAUAACAGUCUAGUGUCCAGAAUACUUAUAAGAACUCUUACAACUCAAUAGUAAAAAGGCAAUGUAAUUUAAAAACAGGUGAAGGAUUUGAAUAGAUAUUUCUCCAAAGAAGAUAUUCAGAUGACAAAUAAGCAUAUGAAAAGAUGUGCAACAUGAUAUGUCAUUAGGGAAUUACCAGUUAAAACAACUACUACACCUAUUAGAAUAGCUUAAAAUCUGCCGGGUGUGGUGGCUCACACCUGUAAUCCCAGCACUUUGGCAGGCCGAGGCAGGUGGAUCACCUGAGGUUGGGAGUUUGAGACCAGCCUGGCCAACAUGGCAAAAGCCCGUCUCUACUAAAAAUACAAAAAUUAGCCGGACAUGGUGGUGCAUGCAUCUGAUACCAGCUACUUGGGAGGCUGAAGCAGGAGAAUCGCUUGAACCUGGGAGGUGGAGGUUGCCAUGAGCCGAGAUCGUGCCACUGGACUCCAGCCUGGGCAACAGACUGAAACUCUCAUUUCAAAAAAAAAAAAAAAAAAAAAAAGGUAAAAAUCCAGAACACUGACAACACUGAAUGCUUGUGAGGAUGUCGCCCAGGCUGGAGUGCAGUGGCGCAGUCUCAGCUCACUGCACCCUCUACCUCAGGGGUUCAAGCGAUUCUUGUGCCUCAGCCUACUGAGUAGCUGAUACUAUAGGCAUGCGCCACCACUCCUGGCUAAUUUUUGUAUUUUUAGUAGAGAUGAGGUUUCAUCGUGUUGGCCAGGCUGGCUCAUGCCUGUAAUCCCAGCACUUUUAGAGGCCAAGGCGGGUAGGGUCACUUGGUCAUGAGUUCAAAACCAGUCUGGCCAACAUGGUGAAAUCCCAUCUCCACCAAAAAAACAAAAUGGUACAUAAAUGAAUUCCUACUGUAUGAACUUUUGAGCAUGGCUUUUUUUACUCAGCAUAAUUCUCUGGAGAUUCCUCCAGGUUGUUGUACAUAUCAAUAAUUUGAUUUUUUUUUUAUUGCUAGUUAAUAUUCCACAGUGUGAUAUACCACCGUUUGUUUAAACAUUCA
rnacentral:lncRNA from 1 species